UUCAUACUUCCUCCGUCCGAAAAUACUUGUCAUCAAAAUAGAUAAAAAAUGGAUGUAUCUAGAACUAAAAUAUGUCUAUAUGCAUCCUCUUUUAUCCAUUUUGAUGACAAGUAUUUCCGGACAGAGGGAGUACAUC
rnacentral:pre_miRNA from 1 species